rnacentral:rRNA from 1 species
AGUCACUGACAUUAGAUACCCCGGUAGUCCUAGGCGUAAUGAUGCGAGUUAAGUNUGGGGGCAUCUACGAGAUGGCCCUGUGCUGUAGGGUAGCCGUUAAACUCGCUGCCUGGGGAGUACGGUCGCAAGGCUGAAACUUAAAGGAAUUGGCGGGGAGCACCACAACGCGUGGAGCCUGCGGUUUAAUUGGAUUCAACGCCGGACAUCUCACCAGGGCGACAGCAGAAUGAUGGCCAGGUUGAUGACCUUGCUUGACAAGCUG